UAGCCCUACGGGGCGCAGCAGUGGGGGAUAUUGCACAAUGGGGGAAACCCUGAUGCAGCGACGCCGCGUGAGUGAAGAAGUAUUUCGGUAUGUAAAGCUCUAUCAGCAGGGAAGAAAAAAGACGGUACCUGACUAAGAAGCCCCGGCUAACUACGUGCCAGCAGCCGCGGUAAUACGUAGGGGGCAAGCGUUAUCCGGAUUUACUGGGUGUAAAGGGAGCGUAGACGGCAAUACACGUCUGAAGUGAAAUACCCGUGCUCACCCUG
rnacentral:rRNA from 1 species